rnacentral:lncRNA from 1 species
CAGAAAUUUUAGCCUCUGACACCUACAGUUACAGCAAACAAUAAACACAGACUAACUUCUAGGCAAAUAAACAAACAAGAGAUGGAGCACAUUCAAGUCACAGCAGUGGCCAUGAUAGCUAGAGUUUCAGAAGCCAUUCUGUGACCUGGAGCAUGGAAAGAAAGUGCUAAGAAAACAGCAGCUAAGCCAGGAACAUCUUACCUGGAAAAGAGACUUAUCCCACCUGUACAUGAUGUUACCGCAGUCUCCUAUGGAAUGCAUUGACCUCAUGCUGUUCAAGUCCCAGCGAAUCAACACCAGCACUAGAACUUCAGCCAUGUGUGAAUACCC